rnacentral:rRNA from 1 species
ACCGGCGCACGGGUGCGUAACGCGUAUGCAAUCUACCUUUUACUGAGGGAUAGCCCAGAGAAAUUUGGAUUAAUACCUCAUAGUAUAGUAUAACCGCAUGGUUGAACUAUUAAAGUUCCAACGGUAAAAGAUGAGCAUGCGUCCCAUUAGCUUGUUGGUAAGGUAACGGCUUACCAAGGCAACGAUGGGUAGGGGUCCUGAGAGGGAGAUCCCCCACACUGGUACUGAGACACGGACCAGACUCCUACGGGAGGCAGCAGUGAGGAAUAUUGGUCAAUGGGCGCAAGCCUGAACCAGCCAUGCCGCGUGCAGGAUGACGGUCCUAUGGAUUGUAAACUGCUUUUGUACAGGAAGAAACAGUUCUACGUGUAGAACCUUGACGGUACUGUAAGAAUAAGGAUCGGCUAACUCCGUGCCAGCAGCCGCGGUAAUACGGAGGAUCCAAGCGUUAUCCGGAAUCAUUGGGUUUAAAGGGUCCGUAGGCGGUUUUGUAAGUCAGUGGUGAAAGCCCAUCGCUCAACGGUGGAACGGCCAUUGA